rnacentral:rRNA from 1 species
UACGUAGGGUGCGAGCGUUGUCCGGAAUUAUUGGGCGUAAAGGGCUCGUAGGCGGUCUGUCACGUCGGGAGUGAAAACACGGGGCUUAACCCCGUGCCUGCUUCCGAUACGGGCAGACUAGAGGUAUGCAGGGGAGAACGGAAUUCCUGGUGUAGCGGUGAAAUGCGCAGAUAUCAGGAGGAACACCGGUGGCGAAGGCGGUUCUCUGGGCCGUAACUGACGCUGAGGAGCGAAAGCGUGGGGAGCGAACAGG